CCUGACCUAGAGACAUUGCAGAAGUGGCUCCUGUGUCAUGUGUGCAUCAGUAGGGGGCAGAGGGAAGAGAAGCUCUAUCUACGCUCAGUGUUCUGAUCUGUGACCACCUGAAUGAAUAGUACUCUAACAUU
ensembl:snoRNA Gm22268 small nucleolar RNA SNORA17